GACGAAGGAUGCAAGCGUUAUCCGGAUUCAUUGGGUUUAAAGGGUGCGUAGGCGGCUUAUUAAGUCAGUGGUGAAAUACUCUAGCUCAACUAGAGGGGUGCCAUUGAUACUGAUGAGCUUGAGUACAGAUGAGGUAGGCGGAAUUGACGGUGUAGCGGUGAAAUGCUUAGAUAUCGUCAAGAACACCUAUAGCGAAGGCAGCUUACUAGGCUGUAACUGACGCUGAGGCACGAAAGUGUGGGGAUCAAACAGG
rnacentral:rRNA from 1 species